UACAGUAUGGCUUAGUGGUUUGAGUGUUGGACUAUGUUUCUAGAGGCCACCGUUCAAAUCCUUGCUCUGCCA